rnacentral:rRNA from 1 species
UACGAAGGGGGCUAGCGUUGUUCGGAAUCACUGGGCGUAAAGCGCACGUAGGCGGACUUUUAAGUCAGAGGUGAAAUCCCAAGGCUCAACCUUGGAACUGCCUUUGAUACUGGGAGUCUUGAGGUCGGAAGAGGUGAGUGGAACUGCGAGUGUAGAGGUGAAAUUCGUAGAUAUUCGCAAGAACACCAGUGGCGAAGGCGGCUCACUGGUCCGAUACUGACGCUGAGGUGCGAAAGCGUGGGGAGCAAACAGG